rnacentral:rRNA from 1 species
UACGUAGGGUGCAAGCGUUAAUCGGAAUUACUGGGCGUAAAGCGUGCGCAGGCGGUUAUGUAAGACAGAUGUGAAAUGCCCGGGCUUAACCUGGGAACUGCAUUUGUGACUGCAUGGCUAGAGUUUGGCAGAGGGGGGUAGAAUUCCACGUGUAGCAGUGAAAUGCGUAGAUAUGUGGAAGAAUACCGAUGGCGAAGGCAGCCCCCUGGGAUAACACUGACGCUCAUGCACGAAAGCGUGGGGAGCAAACAGG